rnacentral:rRNA from 1 species
UACGGGGGGGGCAAGCGUUGUUCGGAAUUACUGGGCGUAAAGGGCUCGUAGGUGGCCAACUAAGUCAGACGUGAAAUCCCUCAGCUUAACUGGGGAACUGCGUCUGAUACUGGAUGGCUUGAGUUUGGGAGAGGGAUGCGGAAUUCCAGGUGUAGCGGUGAAAUGCGUAGAUAUCUGGAGGAACACCGGUGGCGAAGGCGGCAUCCUGGACCAACACUGACACUGAUGAGCGAAAGCCAGGGGAGCAAACGGGG